GCUGUGAAUAUAUGCUGUUCUCAUUGGUUAGUAAAUAAAGCUGCAUUGGCCUAUGGCAGGGCAGGAUGGAGCCAGGUGGGAAAAUCCAAGAGAGACAGUGAGAGGAGAAAGGAGAGAAAGGGGAGAUGCUGAACUGCUGUCCAGGAGCACACGUAAUGGGACGCUUCUAGAAUACUCAGCCCACAGUGAAUUUGGGGUGCCCUUUGAACUCUGCAUCUUGAAAAUUAAACACCCUGCGACCAGCAACUCAGUGGCUGGAGCUGGUGGGAGACCAGACUCUCGGUCCCUCUGCAGACUGAAUCCCUAAAGGGAUGAAGCCGUGAGGCUCUCCAGCAGGAUUUCAGAUUUUGCUCAGAGUCUGGCAUUUCCUGGAAGGGUUUUAGAGGCAGCCUGUGCAGCAUGCUGCUGUGUGGAGACUCAUCAGCAGAUCCCCAAACAGAAGGGAAUAAAAAUUUCUAAUUAUUGUUUUUGA